rnacentral:rRNA from 1 species
UACGGGGGGGGCAAGCGUUGUUCGGAAUUACUGGGCGUAAAGGGCUCGUAGGGGGCCAACUAAGUCAGACGUGAAAUCCCUCGGCUUAACCGGGGAACUGCGUCUGAUACUGGAUGGCUUGAGUGUGGGAGAGGGAUGCGGAAUUCCAGGUGUAGCGGUGAAAUGCGUAGAUAUCUGGAGGAACACCGGUGGCGAAGGCGGCAUCCUGGACCAUUACUGACACUGAAAAGCGAAAGCCAGGGGAGCAAACGGG